AGUGAACGCUGGCGGUAGGCCUAACACAUGCGAGUCGAACGGCAGCACAGUAAGAGCUUGCUCUUACGGGUGGCGAGUGGCGGACGGGUGAGGAAUACAUCGGAAUCUACUUUUUCGUGGGGGAUAACGUAGGGAAACUUACGCUAAUACCGCAUACGACCUACGGGUGAAAGCAGGGGAUCUUCGGACCUUGCGCGAUUGAAUGGGCCGAUGUCGGAUUAGCUAGUUGGCGGGGUAAAGGCCCACCAAGGCGACGAUCCGUAGCUGGUCUGAGAGGAUGAUCAGCCACACUGGAACUGAGACACGGUCCAGACUCCUACGGGAGGCAGCAGUGGGGAAUAUUGGACAAUGGGCGCAAGCCUGAUCCAGCCAUACCGCGUGGGUGAAGAUGGCCUUCGGGUUGUAAAGCCCUUUUGUUGGGAAAGAAAAGCAGCAGGUUAAUACCCCGCUGUUCUGACGGUACCCAAAGAAUAAGCACCGGCUAACUUCGUG
rnacentral:rRNA from 1 species